GGGCUCGUGGUCCAGCUGGCUAAGACGCUUCCCUCACGCGGAAGAAAUCGCCGGUUCAAAUCCGGCCGAGCCCA
rnacentral:tRNA from 1 species